CACCAUGCCUGACUCCCCCCCUCCCCAUUGGAAUCAACCCAUCCCCCUCUUCGUAAAGUAGCAACUUGGAAUAGACUGGCCUAAGGUCUUUGGGAGGCAGGGGAUGCUUACUUCCUUUGCCUUCCUUUGGCUGCCUAUAUGC
rnacentral:snoRNA from 1 species